GCCGCAGUGGUGAAACUGGAAUACACGCAUGCUUCAGGAGCAUGUCCCGCAAGGGUUGAGGGUUCGACUCCCUCCUGCGGCA
rfam:Candidatus Staskawiczbacteria bacterium RIFCSPLOWO2_01_FTLL_37_25b rifcsplowo2_01_scaffold_17025, whole genome shotgun sequence.